rnacentral:lncRNA from 1 species
AGGGAUGAAGAACCUGUUACUUGGAAUUAUUCAAGUGCAUCUAGUGCAACGAGUAUAUAUCAGCUUGGAAUCUUCCUAAAUCAUCAAAGAGGAAUCUGCUUUGUGUUUUACGUCAAGCAGUAGUUACUUCCACAAUGACCAUAUGCAACUCAAGGUGGCCUCUUUACAGAUUAGGUGUUUUAUUUCAUGAGUGUCCAUACUAAGAAGCUAGAGAUGUUGUCCAUAGCUUUUGCGCGGAAUAGCGAUCU